rnacentral:tRNA from 1 species
GUAAAUGUAAUUUAAUAAAAAUAUUAGAUUGUGAUUCUAUAUAUAGGAGUUUAAAUCUCCUCAUUCACC